rnacentral:rRNA from 1 species
UACAGAGGAUGCAAGCGUUAUCCGGAAUGAUUGGGCGUAAAGCGUCUGUAGGUGGCUUUUUAAGUCCGCCGUCAAAUCCCAGGGCUCAACUCUGGACAGGCGGUGGAAACUACCAAGCUGGAGUACGGUAGGGGCAGAGGGAAUUUCCGGUGUAGCGGUGAAAUGCGCAGAUAUCGGGAAGAACACCCGUGGCGAAGGCGGCACUCUGGGACGGUACUGACGCUGAGACGCGAAAGCGUGGGGAGCGAACAGG